GAUGAAGAACGCAGCGAAAUGCGAUAAGUAAUGUGAAUUGCAGAAUUCAGUGAAUCAUCGAAUCUUUGAACGCACAUUGCGCCCGCCAGUAUUCUGGCGGGCAUGCCUGUUCGAGCGUCAUUACAACCCUCAGGCCCCCGGGCCUGGCGUUGGGGAUCGGCGGAAGCCCCCUGCGGGCACAACGCCGUCCCCCAAAUACAGUGGCGGUCCCGCCGCAGCUUCCAUUGCGUAGUAGCUAACACCUCGCAACGGGAGAGCGGCGCGGCCACGCCGUAAAACACCCAACUUCUGAAUGUUGACCUCGAAUCAGGUAGGAAUAACCGCUGAACUUAAGCAUAUCAAUAAGCGGAGGA
rnacentral:misc_RNA from 1 species